GGGGGAUUGAAGGUAUUUGGGAGGUGGGAUCAAUAACACUUGGGGAUCGACUGAUUGUGGCAGAGAACAUAGUAAAUGGAGUGACUGAUGGUGCCAUUGCUAGAAGGGGAGCAGUGGAGGAGAAUGCUUAGGGAUGAAGAUGGCAAGUUCAGUUUCCAACAGAGGGAGUUGGAGCUGCCUGUGGGACAUCCAAGUGAGAGCGUCCAGAAGACAGGAGGAUGCCCAGCUCUGGACUCAGGGGAAGGGUCCAUGCCGGAGCCCGAGAUUUGAAGGCUGUAGGAGUGGAAGAGAUGGUGCAAGGAAUGUGUGAACUGUGAGCUGAGAACAGAAGCCAGAGCAGGACCCAGGGCAGGACCCAAGGCACCUAUUAUGCACCUGGCUGAGUGCGAGGCGCUGGGGACCCAGCAGGAGUCAGACGUGGUCUUUGUCCUUGUGAAACUCGCCGUCCAGUCAGUGAGAGAGCCGCAUGGAUAGACCAUCUCAAUAUCAUAUGUGCCACCCUCUGAAGUGCCUGUGGCCUUUAUUUCAGACGGCUUUCUCUCCUUUUACAUCGCUGUGAAACUGCAGCCAGUCAAAGGUAAAAUUCACUUUCACCUAGCGUCUGCCCUUAUCAAGCCCACUGAUUCUUCAUGCCCAAUGCAGUGACAUUGAACCAAAUGUCCUCUCCGCGGAAAUAUUUGAGCAUGGAAUACUUAGGAUUUUACUUUCUGGCAACAGCAGGUUUUCAGACUUGUGGACAUUAGUUUACAGCUCUUCAAAAAUGUCCAUCUAUGUUGUACCUACCAGCUUGUUUUGGUAGACCAGCUGUUUAUCAGUCGGGUCCUUUGCAUCUAUACAUUCAUCACAUAGACUAUCCAUGUCUAAAACGUUCAUCAGUUUUAAAUACUCGGAUGUCAUCAGAAGUUUGACGUUCUCAGAGAAACGGUUUUCAAGCACAGAGGUGAUUUGAACGUGUGAAAUUGAAGUUGGAUUCUGUGAUGGUUAAUUUUAUGUAUCAGCUGGAUUGUGUCAUGAGGUGCCCAGAUAUUCAGUUAAACAUUAUUCUGGAUGUGUCUGUGAGGCUGUUUCUGAAGGAGAUUAACAUCUGGAUCUGUAGACUGAGCAAAGCCAUCGCCCUCCCCAGUGUGGGGGGGCCUCAUCCAAUCCUUUGGAGGCCUGAAUAUCAGACUGGAACUAUACCAUCAGCUCUCUUGGGUCUCCAGCUUGCUGGCUACAGAUAUUGGGAUUUUUCAACCUCCGUAACCACGUUCCUUAUGGCCUCUCCAAAGAUCAUCAAACAGUUUCGGAGAAAUAACAUCAGGUCAGCGUUCUUACAUCUCUGCCAUGGACAGCAACACUGAUAGCCGUCUUGUAGGCACCUGUCUAAGGAGGAUCUCCUUCCAUUUCUGUCAAGUCCAUAAUCUCAUUAAGUGCUUCUGCACACUUUGAGGAAACUGAAAGUGACUAAAAACAUUCAUUACAAAAGCCUCAGUACCACUGAUAAGUAAGUCGUACUCUUUUCAGCAGCAGUGUGCACAGGAUGUGCAGGCCAUUUAGCAGGUAAGAUCUUUUCUUUUCUGUCUUUCCUUCUUUCUUUCUUUUUUUUUUUUUUGAGGAAGAUUAGC
ensembl:lncRNA